AAAUUUCAAACAUUGCCAUCAGUCCCACAAAAUACCUUCCAACCGACACUGAGCUAUCACAUGGCCGCAUGCUGCACGGGUCUAAACAAGAUUUUGAAUUUCAAGCCGCUUCAUUAAGUGAUCUGUAUAUUCUCCUUCACACGUUGUAACUCCUAGAACAAUAUCCAGCAUAAUUUUCAUUGCAGCCAAAAAAACAAGGGAUCCAACAUAUUUGUGCUUAACUCCUACCGGGAUUGUUAGCAAAGCUCUUGCCGCAUUUAAUACCUAGUUUCAAGUUGAUAAAUAGAGUUUUAGACUUACCGAUCGGAGACCCUCCGAUGGUUCUUCAAUGGCGGCGCAAAUUCAAUACGCAUGAAUAAGCAUGGUCAAGAAUGGAGUAUGAAUGAAGACCAUUGAAGAGGUUGGAAUUAUUUUUAUUCUUUUGUGUAUGACUAUUAUGUAUUAUGCUUGUAAUGGCAUAAGGUGAUGUGAAGUGAAGUCAUGUAAAUGUAGAAAUGAUAUUUAGUGACUUUUGAAUUUUAUGUACAUGGAUUGAAAUACCAUGAAUAAAAAAAGGGGAAUUAUAGC